AUUUUCAUCCCACAGAGAGGGUGGAAUUCCAAAAUGAUGCUAACUCAAGAUGGGAUUAAGAUGAGUAUUGGAUCCCAGGAUGCCUUCACUGAGAGAAGGUCCUUUCACAGGAAGACUGAUAGGCUAUACUGCACUAGAAGAAACUGAGAGAAGUAGGGAGAAGGCAAAGAAACAUCUACCAGCCUCUUGAAAAGUGUUCCAUCAAACAAGAACUGAGGUAAGCAGCUCAGAAGAAAAUCCAGGCAGGAGAUAUGAAAACUUCCACUGGCAAUCUGAGAGCAAGACAGUUGGGAAUGCAUGCCUGUGUUUAACAGAGGCUUGCCCCUGGCUUAAACACAGUCCUUGCUUAACCAAAUCUAGCUAAGAAAAGCUUGCAGUGCUCAAGACGUGCAAUUUCUGAGCAUGGUUAGUGUUGUAGUGAGAGUGACCAAAGAGGCAGAUGUUUAAAUACAUCACAACAACAGAAAUGCUGUGCUGUCAUUGAGUAGUUUUUCUGUUGAAAAGGUUUUGAAUUUAUAGGAAUUAACUAUUUCCCAUCAAGACCAUUCAUGGAUUACCCCAGUCUUUCCAUUUUUGAUAGCAGACUAAGCUAUGAAAAAAGUUUUGCAUCAGUCUAUCUCUGUGACUGAGGCGGCAAUGUUUAGUCAGGUUAGGAAUUAAUUAUAUUUACUGGGGUACAUUUUGACCAUUGCUUAUAUUACUGCAUCUUAUCAAUAUCCCUCAGCAAAGCAGGCUGGAAUUGCACUCUGCUUACACUUUGUCUAGGCUUUUACCAUUUACACAUAUCUAUCCCUAGGCUCGAUAUUAUGCAUAGGUGGUAAGGCCUUCAAAGCAAGCCCAGUCUGCUCAGUUUAGGCAAUGAAGGUCAAAUAGGUUACAAAAAUGCAUAAUAAUCUCAUCGUCUCUGCUCCUUAAACUAGAACCCUUUGUGAUAUAGCCUUCAAUGUCCUUUGCUCAGUUUUCAGGUUUUUACCAAGCAACACUGAAAAGAAUAGGGGAGUAAGCUUUCACUGCCUUACUGUGUGACCGUGUGUUAGGACAGAGUCAUGACAAGCAAUCUGAUUGUAUUUCACUGCACGUAGAGCUCUACCCAACCUGCACUCUGGAAACCUAAAAACAAACAAACAAAAAUCCACCAACACCAGCCUUAAAUAAAGCUUUGUUUUUUUUUUUAAAGAAAUUAUAAGAAAAAUUACAGAGAGGGUUCAUUGCCUGAUAACGUGAUCAACAUCUGAAUAAGACCUAGGCAAAAAGUCUCCAGUAGAGGGAGUGACCAAAUUAAAAAUCUCAUCCAAACUACUCUGAAUUAUAUGUUGCUGGAAAGUGUUUUCAUUCCUCAGGUGUGAGCAGCCAGAGAAGCAGGGAACUAUCUUAACUAGCACUGUGUUUUAUGGAGCAUCAUAUGUGACUCUGACAGUUGCACGAGUCUGCAUGAGAGCCAAUGCAAUUUGAAUUUAAUAUAUAUAGAUUUGUUUAUAUAUACACGCAACUAUAUUUUAAAGUAUGUGAACAGAAUUAAGAAGAGCCUUGCUUUCUGCAUUUCCUGCACUGUGGCCGCAGUCACUCGUGUUUACUGUGCAUAAUGCAGCAUUCAGUAUGUCACAUACGCCCAUCCAUGGCAUUAAUUACCCUACUUUCCCAAUUAAAAGAAAUAAAAAAAAUGUUGUAUUUGACCCUCAAAGCCACAGCUGAGCUGAAAUUUAAAUAUAGAUCCUUCUAGCACUAGAAAAAUACCCUGAUUAAUCAAAAUUAUUAAAAAUGUAUUUAGCUUUUAGAUAACACCGCCAGGUAGCGCCUAAGCCACAGGUAAUUACAUCACUGAGGUACCUGCUUCUUUCCCUGGUCGUUUUUCUGAUCUGACCUUUUCACACUCUUUCCGUUGCAGUCUCCCAAGCAUACGUACAUAGAAAUGACUGGCCUCUCCAAAGGCAGCUCAGAGCCCUAACGAGGGUAGUGAUGAUACACUUUCUCAGUGUACUUUGAGACACGAAGGAAGGAAUGUGUAUUUUUGCAUUUAAAAUUUUAUUCUGUUUUGCUUUGUACGAAGUCUCUUUGCAUAUUGCAUGAGUACUUUCAACUGAGAUCUUUGGGUUGCAAUCCAUCAGAUAGCGGAGAUGCAGUUUCAGAAGCCUCUCCAUAGAGGCUCACUGAACAGCAGUUCAGAAGGUGCAGUAUCUAGCAUAUAUAAGUAUAUAUAAUGUAACUAAAGGAUAUGUAAGUUAUUGUAUAUAUUCUAUAUAAUAAUACAUAGAAUAUCCUAGUAUAAAAGUGACAUCUUUUCAAAUAUUUGAUUAGGAAAGCAGUGUCUGGGUACGUUGGGGAAAUGGUGCAUUUGAGAGAGGAAUAACGAGGGUGCGGGGAAGGAGAAAGACUCCUGUCCAUCAGAGAACUGACAGCACUUAGUUAAAAUAUAUUUUUGAUAGACAACAACUUCACCCCUUACCUUUGUGCUUUCCUGCAGCUUUUGAAUGUAGCUUUAUUUUUCCUUUUCGUACCCAAGUUGAACUAUGUGUAAAGUAGUAGUCCCAUUUCGGGUGAAUUUUUAAGUUCUAUAAACUUCGUAAUUGUAGCACACAAACACUUUUUCCCAAAGACAAACAAUGUAGUAUCCUCUAGGGAAAACAAGAGGUCUCCAAGUUUAGAAAACAGGCUGGAGUGAUCAUUAGUGAAGCACAAUUUCAUGGCAGGAAGUCGGCUUGGAUCCCGUCUAUGUAUCCCAGACAUUUUAUGGUCUGGAUACAGAAAGCUCAUAUGGUGAAUGUUGGGGUUUUUAACAGCCAUAUUUUGGGCCCAUAAAAUAACCAACUACAACAGUUAAUUUUCACCCACACACCCAAAUUGCUAGUUGGUAUCACAAUUUCAGUCCCCUGACACCCCUUACACAAACAUACACUAUCACCACCAAAAAAAGUAAAACCAGGAGUGUAGUCUUGAGGGAUUGCAAUGGGUGUUUAAAAAAAACAUGCACACACACACACACACCAUACACACAAAAACGAGCAGCAGAUGACUGAUUAUACCUUCCAGCAAGUCACAGGAGGAAACAGUUUACAGAAUGCGUUGCCUCACAGCUCUGCCAUCUCUCCAUCACCUCCCUGUCCUUUUCCUUUCUUUUCUGGUCUGAUCUCUGUUGUCCUCCUUUCAUAAGCUGUUGUAGCCCAGAGCAGAAUCAGCAGCUUCCAAGAGUAUCAGCAACUUUAAAAUUUCCUUUAACUCUUUCCAAAAUGGAUCCAUGUGUUUAAGCAGGAAAUGCAACAAAUAGGUUACUACUGUGUUGUUUUGUGUUGUGAGAAAAUGUGAGCAGGCAGCUGGGUUAUCAUCUCCUCAUCCUAACAAGCUCUACUUAAAAUAUGCCUCAGACAAAAGAGAAAUGGUGAUUCUCUAGUUUAUCAGAAAGUGAACAGCACGAGCAAUCAAAGUUAUGAAACACACUGCAAGCUUGCUGGCCUCUCAGUUCAGUAGGAAUGAAAAGGGGAUGAACACUUUAAGAUAGAGAUUUAUGAUUUCGAAAAGCUCGUUUAGUGUAAGUUUAUUAUCAACAGAGAUGUCAGUUACUGUAUAAAUACCUAUCUUGAACUAGGCCCCUCUCGUUAGGAAGAUGUGAGUGAUGCGUGGAGAAUGUCAUCUCAUCAGGGAGAGAGGUAUUGUUUGAUUAAUUGCAUCUGGCUACUCAAUAACUUAAACUGGGUUCAAAUUAAAAUGGAGUGAUUUUUGAGUGCACAUCUAGGCAGCUUUUAUAAGAUGUAUGAAACGUUGAGCUAAGAAUAGAGAGUGAGGAUACUGGCUCUGCAGGUUCUAAAACAGGGAAUGUGUGCAAUAGCCUUGAAGUGGGCAGGUUUAUAGACCAGUCCUGUAUUUGCAGAGUGAGUUAUGUAGAUUUAAGAGGCCCUUUCUGUUACAUUUUCUUAGGUCUUGAACACUUCAUAUGGGAAAAUCAUAUCAAGCGUAGAAACAGUUCAAAGAAUUCUAGGGCAGUGGAAAUCUAGAUGUAAAACACUGAUUUUAAAAUGACCAAGACACUCCAGCCAUGCAUGUCACCUUCCUGUCUGCCUCAUUGAAUUAAUCUCGACUGAACAAGCUACAUGGGCUGUAUGUAACACACUGCAUCUCCUUUUACUAUAUUUAGACUGGUCAUCUUCUUCCACUCAGCUAAGCCAGAGGGGAGCUCAGCACGCAUCUUGUAAACACAGUGCCUUAACUGUCUACAUGGGAGAGGUGGUGUUUUUCCUUAAGCUGCUUCCCAGAUAGUUCCUUAAAUUGCUUUCAUAGCGUUGUUUUGUAUUUUCUGAGCAAAAGGAAGACUGCUUCCUGAAGGCUUCCCUUGGCAGAGAAACUGUGAGUGAUGCAGUGCUCCUCUUUAUCUCUCCCUGCUGGAAGAUAUUUCCUCCUGUUGAAGGUCUCGAAUCAUGUUUCCAUGGUGGGACUUGCCUGUGCCACACACUUCAGCACUCAGAGCUCAAUGUGCCUUGCAAGGCUGGCUCAGCAGAUGACUUUCAGUGGUACUAUUUUAAAAGCAAUUAGUAGGGUUGUGCAGUUCACAGUAAUUCCGACGAAGUCUCAUGUGACAUCUCAAUGAUAAAAUGUGCAUUUUCCAAGCCACAGCAUUUUUCAGGUAGUUUUGGCUUCAAGAGAAUAAUAAGAGAACAGUUGUGUUCAAGAAAUGUUUAGGUGCUGUAUCAGGGUACAUGGUUUAGUGGGAAAUACUGGUGAUACGUGGAUGGUUGGACUGGAUGAUCUUAGAGGUCUUUUCCAACCUUGGUGAUGCUGUGAUUCUAUGAUAAUGGACAACCUGAGUUCAGACAGAACACGAUGUAGCAUAUCCAGAUCUCGAAACGUGAUGUGUGGUACAAUGAAUGUUUCUACAGAUGCACGGAAAAUCAAGAUGUAAAUCCACUAUUCUAGCAUGUUCAGGAGAGUAGGGAAAAAUAGCUUUACACCCCACCCAUCAAGAUAUACGGGACAAAAUUAUUAUGUAAAAUGUGAUAACCUACAGUCUUACAUAUAUUCCCUUUAGGCCUGAGAUCCAAGUCUAAGGAACAGAAAAGCUGAAAUGUUGUCUAACCUAGAGCUCUUUUUUGUAAUGUGAUAUAUAAUAGCAGGUUUCAACUUUAAAUACGUAACAAUAGCAACAACACUGCUGAACUAGCUGUUUACACCAUUGUGGAAAACAGAAAACUUCUGCCAUUUAUCACUCAGCUUGAACUAAUAAUUUUACAUUUCAGAGUCUUGGUUUGGGGCGAGAUUUUUCUGGCUUUAAUUUUCAAAGACUUCAUUUUAUUUCUGAGCACAGUGAUGCAAAAUGAGCCACACAGAAGUUAGCCAAUAUAUCACCACUAAAACUGUUUUCUAGAUAGCUCAUUUUCAUUUUCUGUUAAUCAAAUUACAGUGCUUAGUCUUAUUGUGUGGAUUGCAUGAUUGCAAGAGAAUUUAAAAGCAAACUUCAAUACUUGGAAAAUUCAUGGAAAUCCAAUGACAAACUUUCUGAGCUAAGCUCAGCAAGAGAAUGUUGAACGUGGGAGAGUGCAAUUUAACGUGGCACAGCUGGCAGCCUUAGUUUCAUGAUUCAUUUAAUAAUUACCACAGAGAAUUGAAAGUUUUAAUCUGCCUAUAAAGGGCACUUUCCCUUUUGAGGCAGAAUCAGUUAAUGCAACAAAGAGAGAUCUCAACAACAGUAGAGAACCUCAGAAAUUCUGGCUGAGGUCAGUGAGUACUACUGCCAUGCAGAAGGAAAAGCUUUGGAGUUGUGUUGCAUUCAGACUGAGAAUUCCUGCAAGCCUUGCAAGUUGCUAAUGGUUGCUAGUAGUUAGAAUCAUAGAAAGCUGGAGUUGGAAUAAUUUUUUAAAAAUUAUUCCUCCAGUGCAUCUUUGUUCUAAAUAUGGAGCAUUAAUCUAAACUUCAAGGGUGGUAAUCUGCCAUGAACUCUCUUCAAGUUGUCUUACAUGCUGGAGUAGUCUCAGCUAACGAAAGCAGUAUGCAUGCUUGCAUCAGCCUAACUGAAAAUAAUUUAGGUUCAAUGUCCAGCUGCUGCUUCUGUUUUGGUGUCUACAAAAUGGUAUUUACAAAUGGUUACUUGCAAAUUCAAAGUACUCUGCGGACAAUCCUGUGGACUACCUUGCUUACCAGUUCCAAAAUUUCCCUUAAUACUGUGCAAAAAAAUGGUAUUUGGAUUGAAACAAAUCAUUCAACCUUGCAGUGGUUUUAAAGUGUAAUCCUGUGUGUAAUCCAUGCAGUAAACUGAACGUAGCCUUAGAUUUUAGUUAGGUUUCUUUCUCUAGCAUCGGUGGUAUCAUAAUUAACACUCUGCUUAAGUAUCCAUUCCACCUGAUUGGAUUCAACUGGAGGAGUAAUUACAAUUAUUUUAAGCAACCAUGUUUUACCCCUUCAUAGACUGAGUUUGUAGGGUAAAAAGAAUAGUAAAUCCUGCUUCAAAAUUAAGCAUUCCAAGUUUGCUAUUGUUUGUCCCAGAGCUCCUUACACAAGUUUUUCUGCCAAAAUGAGAGCAAUCUGUUCUUUAAAAAAAUAGAAGAUUAAACUUCUUGGAGAAUACAUAAAAUAGAUUCACUCUGAUCAGAGUGAGCCUUUGCAGCUGUUUUAAUCCCUGAACUGCAAGAACCCUAGUAGCGUGCUGCACUUGAGGAAUGUGUUUCUAAACCCACUGACACCAAAUGCAGAGCGAGUCCACAGUGAGUCCUGCUUUGGACCUGGCAUGGGGACUUACUGCAAACAUGGAAGACAUGUGCUGUUCCAAAACAGUGUGAAGCUUUCUUGGUGGGAAACAGCAAGCAGCUUGUUUGCAACUUUUAGGUCAGGAGACUGGUGAGCUGUGGAGUGCCAAUAGAUGGGAGGGCAGCCCAGGGAAAGGCUUCUGCUAAAAUUGCUGGUUGUGCUUUAUUGAGGCCUUCAGCUCUGGGGACAGUCACAAACAGAGACUUAAAAGGAUGAUUUGAGGCCCUGACUCGGUAUGGCUGUUCCUGUAUUAUGUUUGGUGUGACAUGUAGCAGGUGUGAAUUUCCUGAGCUUCCUAAACCCUGUUCUGUAGAAGUUCGGCUGGCUGGGGAGAAACAACCAACCUAAGUAGAGCCCACUCACUCAGUGAUACUAUUUCUCUGUAGUACUUUAGAAACCCAUGUACAGAUAGUGCCAAAACUGAGGGGCGCAUUUUAGGUACUGGUGUGCGGAACCCCAUUUUUAUUAAUAUUAAAUGGAAAAGUUGUGACUCAGUGGGUUGAAUCAGGCAGCAACUUUUCCCUUGCUGCAGGUGAAUGACUAUAUCUGUCUCUCUUACCCUUUGGUUCCCAGUAAGUACCACAAGGAGCAUUUGGCUCCUUUUUGAGUGUAAAGCUCAAUCUAACAAAGUUUUAACAAAUAAUUUAUAAGGAGAAAUGCUGGAUCAUUCGAGCUUUUCUCCUCCCCUCUUCCUCACCCCUUUUCCCCUACUGCUCCUUCCUGCACAUCUCUGCACGUCUCCCAUGAAAACCAACCUGUUUUCUUUUGCUGGACAAUGGUUUGACCAGACAGGUUCCCUGUGUAGACAGUGCGCUGUGAAACUUCUUGUGGAGGCCUUUCCAUGGAGCUGGGAAUGGGACGAUGCUUCGGCAGUUUUGCUGACAAAUGCCUCAUAGCAAGUUAAGCACCGUGACCUGGGGGACUCACUAGCACGGGGUGCCUGCUGGUGGUUCCCUAGAUCCCUUGUGUGCAAGGGAAGGUCUGCAGAGCAGUGGGAAACAUUUUUUGAACUUUUCCCAGUAUGUAGGCUGUACCAGAUCAGAACCUUGAGAAUGAAAAACACUGAAGGGAAAAAAACGCUCCCUUUUUAUAGUCUACUGUCUCGUUGAAAGUGAUUUAUGAAAUGAAGCUUCCUGCCCACCCAGUGCACAGAACAAAUACAGACAGUGCUUUGAAAUAACUACAGUACUAUGCUAUUUUCAGUAAUAUUUAGCUCAGACUUAGCCAAGAAAGCCCACUAAGCAUAGCAGACAGACAUAAAAAGAAACUCUCUUUUUUGCAUUUUUGUGUGUGCAUGCAUCUAUUUUAAGUUUCACCAGUUGCAUAGCUGACUAUCAAUGUUGCAAAGUCCCAACUUGGGAAAAUGCUUUAAACCCACUUGUCAUUCAAGUAACAGCACUUGAGCACGCACCUAACUUUAAGUGCCUUAAUAAAUUUAAGCAUGUGCUUAAGUCGGAAUACUCUUAUCUCUCACAUUGACUUCAUUCGCUUCAAGCAGUGGAUAAUCUUGUGGUCCAGCCACUCUCAUGAUUUGAUUGUGUUUUGUGUGUGUGUAUUUAGGAAGUGCUUGUACCCUCUCAGUGACUAUGAGUUUUUAUACUGUCACAAAAUUACUACCCGUCUGCUGGCAUCAGGUCUACACUCAAGGAGGAAGCUCUAGCUGACGCUGUCUUGGCUCACAUCUGCUGCAUUUUCUUUACACUCAUUUCUUCCCUGUCUGCAAAUUGUGAGGUGUUACUUGUUUUCACACUUACAUUUAGGAAAAAAGAAGAUAAAAACAAGCCAACAAGGUAACUUAGAAGGUCUUUCAGGUAAAUUUAUCUUGCCUUUAGCAGUGGCUGUCCAGAGAAGAAUGGAAAAAUCAGAUUGAGCGCACAGUAUUACAUCUCCAAAAUAAUCUCCUCUUUUCCCUAGUGAUUUGAAGGUUGAAGGACUUCUUAAGCCAUCACUGUUAUUUUUGCACUGGAUAGCUUUUAUUUGAAAUCGUCUAACGCUGUCUGAGGCUGGAUGUCUGGAUCCUCAGCGUGUAACUCGGUGUUUCUCAUAACUCUGGGAAAGUAGGGAUUCUGCCACUUGGGUUUUUACUCUGAGAUUUGUUGGAUAUGUUUGUUUUUCAGUUUCAAACUUCUCCAUCAUUAUAGUAUGAGGAUACUAUACACAUGAACCCAUGAAAUACCCACUGAGCUCAUCAGCUUACAUCAAAGCUUCCUUCCCCAUACUUCACUCCAUUUUCUAACUUUUCUGGUUCAAGCUGUCUUUGUUACUCUGACCAAGCAUGGGGAUCUAUCUCACUGAUGAAAGAGACAUCAGUGGUGCUAGUCUAUCUAGAAAUCUCAUAUUGAAAACACAGCAAGAAAGGUUUCUCUUCUUGGUGUUCCCACACUGUUAACACGUGGUUUUCUUAUUGUGGUUUACUUUAUAGAUCCAAACCAUGUGCUGUAUUAGGAAAUGCUAUGGAAGGUCCAUUUCUCAUGAUAGUUUAUCAGAUGAAGUGCUUUAGAACAUACAUAAAAAAUACAUCAAACAAAGUCAGUAUUUUAUUUCACUAUCUCAUUUUAAGAGAAUGGCAGGAAAAUGCCACUAAUGGUAGGACUUAGACCUCAUGUCUGUGCUGUCAUGUAUGCAGAUAUACUCCUCUACCCAAGUAGAUUUCCAGAAGAACAUUAUGAAAGGACCUUUCACAAUGAGAAAUAACAUGCCUUUUUUGUUUAAUGAUAUAUUAAUCAGUUGCAUGAUAAACAGAUUAAAAAAAUGCUGAGACUCCACUAGAUAUGGAAAUAUAGUAGUUGUAUUUGAUUUAUAUCCUACCCAUAACAGUACAUAUCACUGUUUACUCUUUUAUCAUGAACUAAGGUAAUAUAUGUUUAAUUAAAAACCUAUUUGGGAUGUUUGUGUCUUACAUUCCUAAAGCCUGAAAUGGAUUGUCUUUUACCACCCUUACGAAACAGGAUAAAAAUUUGAAAAGCACUAGCUGUGUGCUCUACAGAACAUCCCAGGUUAAAAAGGGAUAUUUGGUUUUCAGCCCAGGAAUUAAUAAAAAUAGAUCCUUAUCAAAGACUAAGAUACUUGUUUGCAGACUUUCUGAUACAGCAUUACUCAGUCAGGCACACUUCUCCUUUUAUAAUAGCUGUUUUUCUUUCUUCUAAUUCAGGAAAGACUUCGAUCCAGCACUUUCUGUCAUGCAUUAGCAACUCUGAAAACAUGUUUACUUAAGUACAAAACCACAUUAGCUCAGCAUUACUGUACGCCUCAGACACACAUAAAUUACAAUAUAUUGUGGGGUAGGAACUUUGAUCAAGAAAAGCCCACACUGAAUUAACUUGGAGGUGGGGAGGAGGGUUGGAGCAUUAUAUGUUCCUUGUCCCUUUUUUUCCUCUUCCCUAUGAUUCUCACUGCCAGUCAGUCUUUCAGAUUGCUCACUGUUUCUGCACUGCAGACUACAAGAAAUAAAGCAGUAGCGAUAGCAGUCCUUGUCCUAGUCCUAGGUCCUAACCUUCACUAACAUCCAUUUCCAUACACAGAAUCUCAGCUGACACUCGGUAAGUUCUCCCUCAUGCUCCCCAGCAUUCUGCCUCUCACCCUGGGGUUCUGGAACAGAAAAUCAGCUAAUUCAGAGCCAUAACAACGAUUAUAGGUAGUGUAGCUGCCAUUAAUUAUUCUUAUUUACCUGAACCAAGUAGCAGAUAAGAUAAAGGACUUAAAUGGUGCUUUAUGUUUAAGUGUCAUGACAAUUUAUGGCUGUCAUAUUGUUAUGCACAUGUUAGGAACAAGCAAAAGGAAGUAGGGAAUGUAAGAAGGACAUCUGUAUCAUGUAAAAUCCAACACAAAAGUAAGCUACUCUUAUUUGUUUAGGAAUUUUAUCUAGUUUAUCUUUUCUCAGAUCAGAAAGACAACCAUCAACCAAUGUAAGAUCACUGUAAGGGUCACAGCCCAAGGAACAACGUGGCCACAAUAACUCUCAUUUUUGAGAAAGAAUUCAAGGUAGUACUGCUCUUGGAUUUCCACGUGGUCGUACAGGCACCUAUCUCUAAGUCCAUUAAUGUAUUUGAAAUUAAUUGUCAGUACAGUGCUACAGCUCUUGUAAAGUACAAUUAGAUUUCUGUGGUUUAAUUGAUAUCUACCGCAGGUAUCUGGAAACAUCAGUUUAUGCACUAACAGUUCACUAUGCAGAUGAUCUGUUCAGCUCCAGUGACAAGAAUUUGUUGGGGGCAUUUGCAGGCUCCCAUUACAAAAGACAGGUCUCCAAGAUCUAAAAUGACACACUCCUAGCAAGUCAUCACAAAUACAGCAGUGUUCCCCAAUUGGAACUCAGAUAUCAUAAUCAUUUAUCAUGCAUAAACUUCCUACAAGGAGUUUCUCAAAAUUUUUCAAACUUGCCCAGGUCCCUCUGGAUGGCAACCCUUAUUUCUGUUCUAUGAACUGCACCACUCAGCUUAGCAAACUUGCUGAGAGUGUUCUUAAUCCUACUGUCUAGGUUGUUGAUAAAGAUGUUGAAAAGCACCGGUCCCAGGACAGACCCCUGGGGGACACCACUCAUCACCUGAAGCCAUUGACCCCAACCCUCUGGCUGACGCUGUACAACCAAUUCCUUAUCCACUGAAUAGUCCAGCCUUCAAGUCCAUAUCUCCCCAAUUUAGGGAUAAGGAUGGUGUGUGGGAUCGUAUCAAAUACUUUGCUGAAUUCCAGUUAGAUGAUACCAGUUUCUCCUCUUUCUUCUACUGAUGCCAACACUCCAUCGUAGAGGGCCACCAGAUCGGUCAGGUGUGAUCUGCCCAUGACAAGACCAUGUUCUUUGUCACAGAUCACCUUGCCUCACAUGUGUCUUAAGAUAGCUUCCAGGAGGUUCUAUUCCACCAUCUUAUUUUUCCCAUCCCUCACCAAAUGCAGUUCCAUCUGUGCCUUAUCUUUCCUGAUCCCAUCUCUUCAUGUCUAGAUGGAAUCCUGUAUUCUUUCCAGGCCACUCAUUCCUGAUUCCAUUAACUGUGAAUUUCCUUCUUAUUUCUCAUUUUGACCAGCAGGUCCUCACUCAAUCUUGCUGGUUUCCUCCCUCCUCUUCUUGAUUUCUUAUGCUGAGGGACAGAGAGCUCUUAUGUUGUCAGAAAGGUGUCCUUAUAGAGCUGCCAGCUCUGCUCUGCUCCACUGUCUCCGAGGACAGCUUCCCAGGGGAUCUCAUCCAGUAAUUCCUUAAACAGCUGGAAUAUCACUCUUCUGAAGUGCGGAGUCCUGUCUCUGUUCUUUGCCAUGCCCAUAUUCCUUGAGAUCACAAACAUAAUCAGAGCACUAUCACUACAGCUCACAGUACCUCUUAAUAUAUUUAAUGAUCUCCUUUGUAUGGUGAGUGUCUGGUCAGGUAAUGCUUCUCCUCUGGUUGGUUUGUCUGAUAGCUAGGCCAGGAAACUUCUCCGAAUGCACUCCAGGAGUUUGAAUUCCUCCAUCAAAAUGAAAGCCUGUGGACACAGUGCUUCUUGUAGCUGUAGCAAGAAGGUCUUCCAGUAGGCUCCAGGUAAGACAGUGCAGACAGAACUUUGCUUUGACCUGACUAGGUAUGGAAGUAAGUUGGUUCAAGAGCACUGCAUGGCCAUUUUUCUCAUUAAAGAUGAAGAAACCUUUAGGAAUUCCCUUUGAGACUGUUGCAUGUGGUCUCCGUUCGCUCAUCCGGUGUUCGUCCUCUGUCCACAUGUAGGGCUUACUGCUGGGCGAAACCGACCCUUUACCAGGUCGGGGCCAGAUGCUCACGCAGACCCCAGGAGUAAGUGAGGCAAAUGGCGUUAAUUGCUAUAGGCUACGUGUUUAAAUACAAGUGUUUCCUCCAAUCACGAAGCUACACUUGGCACACACAGGUGGCAUAACACACAGGUGGCAUAGGGAACCUGCACACGUCACACCUCGUUUCCCUCGCUACGUGUUUAAAUACAAGUGUUUCCUCCAAUCACGAAGCUACACUUGGCACACACAGGUGGCAUAACACACAGGUGGCAUAGGGAACCUGCACGCGUCACACCUCGUUU
ensembl:lncRNA